rnacentral:rRNA from 1 species
GAACUUAAGCAUAUCAAUAAGCGGAGGAAAAGAAACUAACAAGGAUUCCCCUAGUAACUGCGAGUGAAGCGGGAAAAGCUCAAAUUUAAAAUCUGAUAGUCUUAGGCUGUCCGAGUUGUAAUCUAGAGAAGUGUUAUCCGCGCUGGACCGUGUACAAGUCUCCUGGAAUGGAGCGUCAUAGAGGGUGAGAAUCCCGUCUUUGACACGGACUACCAGGGCUUUGUGAUGCGCUCUCAAAGAGUCGAGUUGUUUGGGAAUGCAGCUCAAAAUGGGUGGUAAAUUCCAUCUAAAGCUAAAUAUUGGCGAGAGACCGAUAGCGAACAAGUACCGUGAGGGAAAGAUGAAAAGAACUUUGGAAAGAGAGUUAAACAGUACGUGAAAUUGCUGAAAGGGAAACGCUUGAAGUCAGUCGCGUUGGCCAGGGAUCAACCUUGCUCUUGCUGGGUGUACUUUCUGGUUAACGGGUCAACAUCAAUUUUGAUUGUUGGAAAAAGAUCAAGGGAAUGUAGCAUCUUCGGAUGUGUUAUAGCCUUUGGUUGUAUACAACAAUUGGGAUUGAGGAACUCAGCACGCCGAAAGGCCGGGUUUUUAACCACGUUCGUGCUUAGGAUGUUGGCAUAAUGGCUUUAAUCGACCCGUCUUGAAACACGGACCAAGGAGUCUAACAUGCCUGCGAGUGUUUGGGUGGAAAACCCGAGCGCGUAAUGAAAGUGAAAGUUGAGAUCCCUGUCGCGGGGAGCAUCGACGCCCGGACCAGAAAUUUAUGGACGGUUCCGCGGUAGAGCAUGUAUGUUGGGACCCGAAA